rnacentral:sRNA from 1 species
GCGAACGGGGUCGAGGUCGUAUCGACCGUUC